rnacentral:rRNA from 1 species
GCUAGACGAGUUUGAUCCUGGCUCAGAUUGAACGCUGGCGGAAUGCUUUACACAUGCAAGUCGAGCGGCAGCGCGGGGGCAACCCUGGCGGCGAGCGGCGAACGGGUGAGUAACAUAUCGGAACGUACCCAGUCGUGGGGGAUAACUAUCCGAAAGGAUAGCUAAUACCGCAUACGUCCUGAGGGAGAAAGCGGGGGAUCGCAAGACCUCGCGCGAUUGGAGCGGCCGAUAUCGGAUUAGCUAGUUGGUGGGGUAAAGGCUCACCAAGGCGACGAUCCGUAGCGGGUCUGAGAGGACGACCCGCCACACUGGAACUGAGACACGGUCCAGACUCCUACGGGAGGCAGCAGUGGGGAAUUUUGGACAAUGGGGGCAACCCUGAUCCAGCCAUUCCGCGUGAGUGAAGAAGGCCUUCGGGUUGUAAAGCUCUUUCAGCAGGAACGAAACGGUGGUCCCUAAUACGGACUACUAAUGACGGUACCUGAAGAAGAAGCACCGGCUAACUACGUG